rnacentral:ncRNA from 1 species
CCGCAUGGACGACCUUGCGCGCCUCAGUCACAUCGGGGACGGCCCCG